GUCUAAAAGUAAAAGUGUUACUCUAAGUUAUGAGGAAAGUCUUCAACUUAAGGGAUUAAUUGAGAUUGGUGGAGUCUAUGAUGUUACCUUUCAUCAACAGGGGGUAAGUCAAAUUUAUAUUUUUGAUUUAUGUCAAUCGUGGAAUUGUUAUCGUCCUAUUUCUCCUGUUUCUUAUUAUGUAUUUAUUUUGUUUAAUCAAAUACUUAUUCACCCCAACAGCAGCAACAACAACAACAGCAGCAGCAAUAUAACACUGAAAGACAUUCACAGCAGCAGCAAUAUCAACAACAAUUCCCACAACAGACACCGUAUCAAAAUCAGCAAACAUGGACCUAUGUUGGACAACAACAACAACAGGCUAAUCCGCAAUUAAUUGCCAUCCCACUAAACCCUGAAGCUUUAGCAACGGGAGAAAUUGACAAAAGCAGACAAGCUGCUAUAAUGCCUCCACCCGCAAAAAGACCAUACGUUUGGGUAUGUUUCCUUAUUUGAUAAUCACAAAUUUUACACACCUUUUAGUUCAUUGUUCAUUGUAUUGAAAUCAACACUAGUUUGAUGCAAAUAUAAUAUAAAUCGUUUUAUCAGGUAUUUUCCUGAUUAUUUAUUUAUUUUUUUUUUUCCUAGGAUGAUGAUGCUGACUUUCAGUAAUUGGUAUGUUUCUUUUUUCUUAAAAUUUAAUAUUUAAAACAAUGGAUUGUUAUAGUCACUUCAAAUUAAAAGUUUUUUUAAUUACCAAUUCUUUCUCUUUUUCAGGACCAGGAUGAUUCCUCACCCCAAGAUUGAAAUCUUUACUUCUAUAGUACUGUUGUGUAAAAGUAGGUUAUAGUUUAUUUCGAUACACGAUGUGUGAAGUAGAAAACGAACAUUUUGUGUUUUCUUCGGAAAAGAAUCUGUGUUUAGCCAAUUUCAUAAUGUAGAAUUUAUAGAUGAAAAUGAUGUACACUACAAUUCAUGUGAGC